UGGGGAAUAUUGGACAAUGGGGGAAACCCUGAUCCAGCAAUGCCGCGUGAGUGAAGAAGGCCUUAGGGUUGUAAAGCUCUUUCGCCCGCGAAGAUAAUGACGGUAGCGGGAGAAGAAGCCCCGGCUAACUCCGUGCCAGCAGCCGCGGUGAUACGGAGGGGGCUAGCGUUGUUCGGAAUUACUGGGCGUAAAGCGUACGUAGGCGGAUGCGCAAGUUGGGGGUGAAAUCCCGGGGCUUAACCUCGGAAUUGCCCUCAAAACUGCACGUCUUGAGACCGAGAGAGGUAAGGGGAAUUCCUAGUGUAGAGGUGAAAUUCGUAGAUAUUAGGAAGAACACCAGUGGCGAAGGCGCCUUACUGGCUCGGUACUGACGCUGAGGUACGAAAGCGUGGGGAGCAAAC
rnacentral:rRNA from 1 species